rnacentral:rRNA from 1 species
UAGGGAAUCUUCGGCAAUGGGGGGCAACCCUGACCGAGCAACGCCGCGUGAGUGAAGAAGGUUUUCGGAUCGUAAAGCUCUGUUGUAAGAGAAGAACGUGUGUGAGAGUGGAAAGUUCACACAGUGACGGUAACUUACCAGAAAGGGACGGCUAACUACGUGCCCG